GACGAACGCUGGCGGCGUGCCUAAUACAUGCAAGUAGGACGCAGUUGCGAACGUGUGAGUAACGCGUCGGUACCUGCCUAUUAGAGGGGGAUAACUAUUGGAAACGAUAGCUAAUACCGCAUACUAGUAGAUGGACCUGCGUUGUAUUAGCUAGUAGGUAGGGUAAUGGCCUACCUAGGCGACGAUACAUAGCCGAGCUGGGAGGGUGGUGGGCCAAACUGGGGAGGGGAAACGGCCCAGAGUCCUACGGGAGGCAGCAGGAGGGAAACUUCGGCAAUGGGGGGAAACCUGGACGAGCAACGCCGCGGGAGUGAAGAAGGUUUUCGGGUCGUAAAGCUAUGUUGUUAAGGAAGCGGUACUUAACCAGAAAGGGACGGCUAACUACGUGCCAGCAGCCGCGGUAAUAC
rnacentral:rRNA from 1 species